ACAUUACACACACAGCUCUGCUGCACUCAUCCUGACACAUAACAUCAGCUAUUCAAGCACAGCAGAGUCCUGUAGCCAUAGAGAGCUGGUCAUGUGAUUCCCGACUCCUCCCACACAGGUGACUGAUCACAUGACAGUGACAUCAUCCCAGGUCCUGUCACCACACGGCUCCUCUACAGCUGGAGAAUCUUCCUUUUUUAGCUAAUUCCUCAAGAAUUCACUCCUUCACUCAAGAAUGGAUAGGAACAGAGACAAGAUGGCCGUGAGGAUGCUAAAUCUCACCCUAGAGAUACUCUUCCAACUUACUGGAGAGGAUUACACAGUGGUGAAGA